CAGAGUGCCAAGUGGAGGGGCAGGAGUAAAGAGAGAGAGCAGAGCACUAUAAAGGAACAAUUGGAGCAUAUGGACAUAUCGUGAAUAUAUGCAUGAUUUUGAUCAUAAGAAACGCUAGGUAUGAAGAAUGAACAACAGCAACAAUGAGGAGGAUAGAUGUGUUAGAUAUGAAGGAAAUAGAAUUAAUAAGGAUUGGCGACCGACUGUAUGGGGGGAAGAAAGUAGAGCCGUAAGGUUGUGAAAUUUGGGUAACUGGAGUGGGGUGGUAUUCAAUAGAAAUAAGGAAGUUAGGAAGAAGGGAUGGUUUAAAGGAAAAUAGUGAGUUAUGCUUUGUGUUUGAGGUGACUUUGAGGUGAAGAUGUCAAGUAGCCAGAGGUAAAUGUGGGACUGGAACUUUGGAGAGAGAUGAGUACUAGAUUUGUAUGUUGAGGAAUAUUAAAUUUUGGGGAGUUACUGAGAUAAAUGGAGGAGAGAAUAUACAGAAAAAGAAAGGAAGACAGUCUAGGUUAGAGCCCUGGGAUAGUUGUUUCUGAUGGUUAAUUAUUCCUUUGUAAAUUGAAUUAGAUCUUUUUCAUUAUAUGGGGUAAGUGAUGUCUCUGAUGAUGCUGAGGUUGUGAACCUUCUUGAUUGGGAAUUGAUACUCUCAGUAGUAGAAGAGAAGUUUAGAAUAGAGGUAGGUUUGGAGGAGAAGAAAAUGAAUUCUUUUUCUGAUAUGUUUAAUUUGAGAUGCCUAUUGAACAUCUAGUUUGACAUGUCCAUUAGGCAGUUCAUAUUGGACUGAAGCCUGAGAGAGAGAGAGGCUAGAAUUUUGGGUAUUCAGAUCUUGAAGGCAUCUGCUUGGAAAAGCUAAUUAAACCACUGAGAGCUAAUGAGAUUACCAAGUGGGAGAGUAUAGUGAAAAAAUAUAAGAAGGUCUGGGAUAAAGCUUUGCAGUUUAUAUUUAUAGUUAAUUGUUGGUGAUCCAGCAAAAGAGAUUGAGACAGAACAUUCAGACACAGAUGGAAAACUACAGCAUUAUGAAAAAGCAGAGAAGAGCCAGUAUCUAGCAGAUGAUGGUCAGUUAUGUAUUAAAUGCUGAAGAGAGCCAAAGAAAGGUGAGGAUUGACCAUCAUUAAAAGGUAUGUGAACAAAUGCCUGUCACUAAUAAUAAGAUAAAUGAAAAUCAAAACACUGAGUUUAUAUCUCUUACACAGCAGAUAGGCAAAGGUGGCAAAGGAUAGAGGCUAGUCAGUAUUAGGGGGAAUGUGAAAAGAUAAGCAUUGGUUGUUUUUGGUUUGUUUGUUUUUUUCCCCAGUUGACAAGCAUUUAUUUUCAUUCUUUUUCACUUCCCUUCCCAUUGGGAAUAAAUAAGUUAAAAGCCUUUGUUUCAUAACAAAUAUAUAAUAGUAAAAAAGACAAAAAAAAACCUUUUCACUGACUGUUGUUAUAGGGAAAUUAAGAAAUUAGCAAGUGAAGGUGACUGACAGGCAGAAAGCAGAAAAAAGGUUCCAGAACUUUGGAUGGGUGACUGGCUAAGUGUCAAUUACUCCCUGGACUUUCCCUUGGUUGGAGCUAUCUUUUUUUUCUCUUUGUAUCCUGCCUCGGUGAAAUCAACAGCCAUCAAGAGGUCAUUGGCUGGAGUUAGGUAGAGUCAUAGGUGAGACACAUGCUGGUGGACUG